rnacentral:tRNA from 1 species
GGCUGGUGUCACUGAGGUCAGCGUGGCCUACUGAAAAGCGGAAGGUCGGCGGUUCGACCCCGCCCCUAGCCACAA